rnacentral:rRNA from 1 species
UUGAACGCUGGCGGCAGGCCUAACCCAUGCAAGUCGAACGGUAACAGGAAGCAGCUUGCUGCUUCGCUGACGAGUGGCGGACGGGUGAGUAAUGUCUGGGAAACUGCCUGAUGGAGGGGGAUAACUACUGGAAACGGUAGCUAAUACCGCAUAACGUCGCAAGACCAAAGAGGGGGACCUUAGGGCCUCUUGCCAUCGGAUGUGCCCAGAUGGGAUUAGCUAGUAGGUGGGGUAACGGCUCACCUAGGCGACGAUCCCUAGCUGGUCUGAGAGGAUGACCAGCCACACUGGAACUGAGACACGGUCCAGACUCCUACGGGAGGCAGCAGUGGGGAAUAUUGCACAAUGGGCGCAAGCCUGAUGCAGCCAUGCCGCGUGUAUGAAGAAGGCCUUCGGGUUGUAAAGUACUUUCAGCGGGGAGGAAGGGAGUAAAGUUAAUACCUUGGCUCAUUGACGUUACCCGCAGAAGAAGCACCGGCUAACUCCGUG